rnacentral:rRNA from 1 species
AUUGAACGCUGGCGGCAGGCUUAACACAUGCAAGUCGAGCGAGCGGCGGACGGGUGAGUAAUGUCUGGGAAACUGCCUGAUGGAGGGGGAUAACUACUGGAAACGGUAGCUAAUACCGCAUACCAUCAGAUGUGCCCAGAUGGGAUUAGCUCGUUGGUGGGGUAAUGGCUCACCUAGUCGACGAUCCCUAGCUGGUAUGAGAGGCUGACCAGCCACACGGGAACUGAGACACGGCCCAGACUCCUACGGGAGGCAUCAUGGGGGAAUAUUGCACAAUUGGCGCAAGCCUGAUGCAGCCAUGCCGCGUGUAUGAAGAAGGCCUUAGGGUUGUAAAGUACGUUCAGCGGGGAGGCGUUACCCGCAGAAGAAGCACCGGCUAACUCCGUGCCAGCAGCCGCGGUAAUUC